rnacentral:lncRNA from 1 species
CCCAGCCGCUCCUGCCCGGCGCAGAGGCUCCGGCGGCCGGCCUUCCCGCUCCUGGCUUCUCCAGCUCGGAAAGCUGUUUGAGAAAUCGUUUUUCCUCUUAAAAGGGCUUCCGUAUUUCUUCUGGUUUUAACCUAAUAUUGUGGGCUCUGACUAAUCCUUUUCAAGGCUGAAUCAUUCCAUCUUUUGUUUCUUACUUAAAAAGAUUCUGGCCAGAGAUGCUGUAAAACUCCGCAAGUGUUAACUAGAUGAUCUGCUCAUUUCUUUUAAAUUUUUAAUCACAUAAGAAAGACGUGACUCACUCAUUGCAGCUGUAAAAUGCUUGAACAUUAUACAAAGUUCCAACCAUUGACUCUACCCCACGAUUUUACUCCACACCAACCACAGUUAGCAGUUUGUUGCUACUGUAUACGUUUUUCUAUGCAUUUACAAACAUCAAACGUCUCUAGCAAUGGUUGUGUUGCAUUUAUAUGUGUGUUUACGCCAGCAUACUGUACAAAUAGUUUGUUUCCUUAUUACCCUAAGGAUGGGCAUGUGUUACCAAUUUUUCUGCUAUUACAAAAAAAAAUAGAGCCAUAAUUUAUCUCUUUAUUCAUGCCUCAUGUUGUGGGCUGAAUUGUGUCCCCCCCAAAUUUCACGUGUUGUGAAGUCCUCAUCCCCAGGACCUCAGAAAUGUGACUGUGUUUGGAGGUAGGGUCUUUACAGAGGUAAUCAAGUUAAAAUGAGGUCAUUAGGGUGGGCCCUGAUCCAACAGGACUGAUGUCCUUAUUAGAAGAGGAAAUUUGCACAUAGUCAUGUACGGGAGGGGACCAUGUGAAGACACAGGGAAAGACAGCUGUCUGCAAGCCAAGGAGAGAGAUCUCAGAAGACACCAACCCUGCUGACAGCUUGAUCCUGGACUUGAGCCACCAGAACUGAGACAAUCAAUUUCUGUUGUUUAAGGCACCCAGUCCAUGGUCCUUUUUUAUGGCAGCCCUAGCACACCAGUACACCUUUUUGGAAGCAGUUGGAAACUAAGCCUCGGGGCUGAUUUUGUGGCUCCUCCGUCAUCUGGCAUCUAGCCUCUUUCUCAUUCUGCUCCAUCGCCCUGGCCUGUGGCUUCAGUCCUCAAGCUCACUGCAAGUUCCGAGAUGGCUACUGGAGCUCCAGCCAUCAAGAUGACUUUCAUCCAGGGGAAGAAGGAAGGGAGGACGGCCAAAGGGAGCAGACCUUGCAAUGGAGUCAGGCUUCCCUUAGCAGUCUUCUGGGACAUUCCACACAGACUAUUGUUGACAUUCCAUGGGCUGGAGCCGAGCCCUCCCAGGGAAGCUGGGAGACUGCCUUCUGGCUGCAUACCUUGUCACCCCGAA